UUUUCGGAGAGUUUGAUCCUGGCUCAGAAUGAACGCUGGCGGCGUGGUUAAGACAUGCAAGUCGAACGGUUUUUCAGAUGUAGCAAUACAUUUGAAAAGCAGUGGCGAACGGGUGCGUAACACGUGAACAAUCUACCUUAAAGUGGGGAAUAGCUCGCCGAAAGGCGAAUUAAUACCGCAUACGGUUGGGACUCUCCUGAGUCCCAUACCAAAGUCGGGGACCGCAAGGCCUGACGCUAUAAGAGGAGUUCGCGGCCUAUCAGCUAGUUGGCGAGGUAACGGCUCACCAAGGCUAAGACGGGUAGCUGGUCUGAGAGGAUGAUCAG
rnacentral:ncRNA from 1 species